AAAUAUCACGUGGGAAAAAGGCUCUGGCAGAUAAGCUGCCUUCGUCACACGCGCAAAAGAGAGAGAGAGAGAGAGCUCAAAGCUCUUCUGGAAACUAGAGAGAGAAGAAGCGUGGAAGUCCUUGCAAGCGAUCAACCAUGGAUGUUGGGAGGAGAAGAGAUGGAGAUCUACACAACGGCAUCAUGAAAGGUAAGAAAAGAAUAAACUUUGUUUGAUUCUCUUAAAUGAUAUUUUUGCAUCAUACAACUGUUGAAAAUGAAAGGGGAAACUCUAUUUAUAGAGUUUAUGGGAAGAAGGGAAAAACCAAAAAUCAUAAAACCUUAACUAACUAAAAUAAAUUGAUUAUUGUCUUUAGACAGUAAUCUAACCAAUUAUAUUCGGUCUCAAUACCUUUAUCUUAUUAUCUCACGUAUUGAUUGCUUUAUUUUUCACUUUAUUUUUCCCAUUUCCUCCUUUAUAAUAUAAUUAUUUUUCGUUUCCAUUGUUGUUUCAGUUUGCAGAUAGAUUGAAUGUUGUGAACAAUGGCUUCAUUCAAGGCCUUAUACAGUAUGUCUGUCUUUUUUAGAAGUAUAUAUCAUCUCGGUUAUGUAAAUAACCGAUAUCAUAUCUACUUUCUAUAAUGGUUUCCUAGACAACCGAAACCAACAAGUUGAUCAAAAUUUUAAAAUUGUCACUUGCUUUUUCAUUUUUUUUUCUAAGAAGGACACAUGACAUCGGUUAUUGGAACAACCGAUACCAAAAGGUUGAUGAAAAGGUUAAAAUUGUCACUGAAAUUUAUAAUUUUUUUUAUUUGAUUAAAAGUCUUUAGGCAUCAGUGUUACGAAUAAUUGCUGCCAUAUGUUUGUCUAGGGUUAAAUUCGCAAAAGAAACAUAGGUUACCACUUCAAAGUCUGUGAACUAGUGUCAUUGUCUAUUGCUCAACUCACUUCAUAUGAUUGUCGUGGUUUUUUUUUCGGUGUUUUUGUGUUUGUGUUUGUUCCUUAGAUUAAUCUGUUGUUAAUAUUUGUCUGGAUUAGCACUGUGACAGGAUUAUGGUGGGAUUUGAAAUAUUUCUCUUAAACAUGAUCUCCAUUCUUUUUCAUUGUUGCUCGCCUCUCACACUUCCAUUGUCUUAUAUUUGUCAUGAAAAUUUAUCUUUAAUACGAGCCUAUAAUUUUCUAGCAUGUUGUUUAUUUUUUGUAUGUUGAAUUUAUGAUUAAUUUUAUGCUUAAAUAUAUUUUAUAAGGUUGGCUAAUAAUCUUCCACUUUCCACUGGUCAUGAAUAUAAGUGACCCAAAUUGCUAACACCAAUUUCUAGGAUAGGGUGAUGGAAAAGAGAAUUCAGAUGAGGCUAAGAGGGUAAGAGAGUUAGGGAUUAUCGAAGAAGAGAACUUAACUGUGAUGGACGAAGCUCAAGCAACAAUGGUGAAAAACGAAGGACGUGACUCAGGCGAAGGACGCGACUUAGGCAAAGGACUCAACUCAGGCGAGGACGCGACUUAGGCGAAGAAUGCGACUCAGGCGGACGAUGAAGACUCAGACCAGUGUAAUGAACAACACAAAACGGUGUCCAAGAGCAACUUUGGAGAGAAUUAUGAAGAAGAGGUGUGCCGAAGUGUAGAAGAGAUCAUGGAAAUUAGAGAGAAGAAAAAUGUGAGCAUGGAAGGCCAAAUUAUUUCGCUCUUUUUUAGCUAUUUCCAUCCCAAUGCGCCAAAAGCAUUUGUUUUUUUUAAAAGAAAUCAUAACUUUACUGCAGUUUUUAUAAAAACCGCCUGAAUUUAUUGGAGGUUUCCAUAACCGCCAAAAAUAAACCUCCACUAAAAUAUAUUAUUUUUGUAGUGGUACGACAAAUAAUGAAAAGUAUUAGUGUAUAAUGACUCUCAAAUUUAGAUGACUACAAAAUAGAAAAACAAAGUGAU
rnacentral:lncRNA from 1 species